GGUCUGUCGCUGCGCCGCUUUUUGCGGCGUUGAGGAAAGUCCGGGCAACGCAGAGCAGCGCACUUUCUAACGGAAAGUCGACGGCGACGUUGAGGGAAAUGUGACAGAAAAUUACCGCCGCUUACAUUUUUCAAUAGUGGUAAGGGUGAAAAGGUGGGGUAAGAGCCCACCGGCGGAUGUGGCGACACGUCCGGCCGCACAUCCUGCGCGUUGCAAGGUCAAAUACACCGGCAAUCAAGGGUGGCUCGCCCGUUGCCGGGGGGUAGACUGCUUUAGCGCGCCGGGCAACCGGCCGCACAGAUAAAUGACAGACACGGCAGCUUCGGCUGGCCGCACAUAACCCGGCUUACAGGACCUCU
rnacentral:RNase_P_RNA from 1 species